rnacentral:rRNA from 1 species
CAGCCGCCGCGGUAAUACGAAGGGGGCUAGCGUUGCUCGGAAUGACUGGGCGUAAAGGGCGCGUAGGCGGCGGCCAAAGUCAGACGUGAAAUUCCUGGGCUCAACCUGGGGGCUGCGUUUGAUACUUGGUUGCUUGAGUGGGGAAGAGGGUCGUGGAAUUCCCAGUGUAGAGGCGAAAUUCGUAGAUAUUCGGAAGAACACCAGUGGCGAAGGCGGCUCACUGGCUCAUACUGGACGCUGAGGUGCGAAAGCGUGGGGAGCAAACAGGAUUAGAUACCCCUGUAGUCCCUGUCUCUUAUAC